rnacentral:rRNA from 1 species
UACGUAGGGGGCAAGCGUUGUCCGGAAUCAUUGGGCGUAAAGCGCGUGUAGGCGGCCCGAUAAGUCCGCUGUGAAAGUCCAGGGCUCAACCCUGGGAUGCCGGUGGAUACUGUCGGGCUCGAGUCCGGAAGAGGAGUGUGGAAUUCCUGGUGUAGCGGUGAAAUGCGCAGAUAUCAGGAGGAACACCGGUGGCGAAGGCGGCUUUCUGGACAGAUACCGACGCUGAGGCACGAAAGCUAGGGGAGCAAACAGG